rnacentral:rRNA from 1 species
CGCAUCUGUGCAUGCAGCAUAUCAAUAAGCGGAGGAAAAGAAACUAACAAGGAUUCCCCUAGUAACGGCGAGUGAAGCGGGAAGAGCUCAAAUUUGGAAUCUUAAAGGGUUUCCCUUUACGAAUUGUAGUUUAAAGAAGUGUUUUCUGUUGAGGUUUUGGUAAAAGUUCUUUGGAAUAGGACAUCAUAGAGGGUGAGAAUCCCGUAUUUGACCUUUACUUUCAACUUUGUGAUACACUUUCAAAGAGUCGGAUUGUUUGGGAAUGCAGUCCAAAAUGGGUGGUAAAUUUCAUCUAAAGCUAAAUAUUGGCGAGAGACCGAUAGCGGACAAGUACCGUGAGGGAAAGAUGAAAAGAACUUUGAAAAGAGAGUUAAACAGUACGUGAAAUUGUCAAAAGGGAAGCGUUUGACACCAGUGUUGUUUUUCUGAAAAUCAAUUAAAGAACUGUUUAUGCUAAGUUGUUUAGACUUUAUCAGCUAACUGUUUAGUUUUGAGCUUUUCUUUAAUGCACUUUUCAGUUAACAAGUCAACAUCAAUUUCUUUUGCUGUAAAAAAGCUUGAGGAAGGUGGCUUGAGAUUCGUCUUAAGUGUUUAUAGCCUCUUGCCUAUGCAGUCGGAGAGAUUGAGGUCUGCAGCGUAGAUCCUUCGGGGCUAAAUGCAUUUGUGCUAAGUUAUAACAUUUUAUAGACAACUUGUUGACUUAUGAUUUGUCUUGUAGCUUACUCGCUUAUGUUAUUUUACCUACGCUUAGGAUGUUGAGCGCAUGUCUCUCUCU